UGCCCAGGCGCGAAAACUUUGCACUAUACGAAAGUGUGACAGGGUCAUCCCGAGUGCCGACCGCUGAGGUUGGCUUUUACCCAGUCUAGAAAGCUGGGGGAAUAAGGAGAGGGCAAGUCUGGUGUCAGCCGCCGCGGUAAUACCAGCUCUCCGAGUGGUGUGGACGUUUAUUGGGCCUAAAGCAUCCGUAGCUGGCUGAACAAGUCCCCUGUUAAACCCACCGAUUUAAUCGUUGGUCUGCGGGGGAUACUGCUCGGCUAGGGGACGAGAGAGGCAGGCGGUAUUCUCGGGGUAGGGGUGAAAUCCUAUAAUCCCGGGAAGACCACCAGUGGCGAAGGCUGCCUGCUAGAGCGCGCCCGACGGUGAGGGAUGAAAGCUGGGGGAGCGAACCGGAUUAGAUACCCGGGUAGUCCCAGCUGUAAACGAUGCAGACUAGGUGUUUGGACGGCCACGUGCCGUUCUAGUGCCGCAGGGAAGCUGUUAAGUCUGCCGCCUGGGGAGUACGAUCGCAAGAUUGAAACUUAAAGGAAUUGGCGGGGGAGCAC
rnacentral:rRNA from 1 species